rnacentral:misc_RNA from 1 species
ACACAACCUUUCUGAUUGAGCAAAUUUUGUCUAUCAAUUUUAUCAAUUGAGCAUUCAUGCCACUUUAUAUUUGUUGAAUUUCCAAUCCUUGACAAUGGGCUCUGAUUUUUCCCAUUGCUAGUAAACCCAUUUGCUAAAAUUGAACCCAAAGGCGACCCAUUUGGUUUAAGCGUAUCGAGCUUGGCCUUGCCAUUGCCAGUGGCAUUAACAUCCACUCUCACCGCCUGCUGUAACCCAUCCGCAGCAGUGAUUCGCAAAACGCUCCUCGCUUUCGCAUUACCUGGGAGAUAGCCGUCGCGCAAGGUUGCGAAUCCAGGCAGCGGCUUAAUUCCAACGGCAUUCAUCUCUCAAAUAAAUUAAUCAAACAAAAA